AUUGAACGCUGGCGGCAUGCCUUACACAUGCAAGUCGAACGGCAGCGCGGGAGCAAUCCUGGCGGCGAGUGGCGAACGGGUGAGUAAUAUAUCGGAACGUGCCCACUAGUGGGGGAUAGCCCGGCGAAAGCCGGAGUAAUACCGCAUACGACCUGAGGGUGAAAGCGGGGGAUCGCAAGACCUCGCUCUAUUGUAGCGGCCGAUAUCAGAUGAGCUAGUUGGUGGGGUAAAGGCCUACCAAGGCAACGAUCUGUAGUUGGUCUGAGAGGACGACCAGCCACACUGGGACUGAGACACGGCCCCGACUCCUACGGGGGGCAGCAGUGGGGAAUUUUGGACAAUGGGCGCAAGCCUGAUCCAGCAAUGCCGCGUGCAGGAAGAAGGCCUUCGGGUUGUAAACUGCUUUUGUCAGGGAAGAAAUCCUUUGGGCUAAUACCUCGGAGGGAUGACGGUACCUGAAGAAUAAGCACCGGCUAACUACGUGCCAGCCGCCGCCGUAA
rnacentral:rRNA from 1 species